UACGUAGGGCGCAAGCGUUGUCCGGAAUUAUUGGGCGUAAAGAGCUCGUAGGCGGUUUGUCGCGUCUGCUGUGAAAACGCGAGGCUCAACCUCGCGCCUGCAGUGGGUACGGGCAGACUAGAGUGCGGUAGGGGAGAUUGGAAUUCCUGGUGUAGCGGUGGAAUGCGCAGAUAUCAGGAGGAACACCGAUGGCGAAGGCAGAUCUCUGGGCCGUUACUGACGCUGAGGAGCGAAAGCGUGGGGAGCGAACAGG
rnacentral:rRNA from 1 species